AUGAACGCUGGCGGCUUGCCUAAUACAUGCAAGUCGAGCGAACAGACGAGGAGCUUGCUCCUCUGACGUUAGCGGCGGCCGGGUGAGUAACACGUGGAUACCCUACCUAUAAGACUGGGAUAACUUCGGGAAACCGGAGCUAAUACCGGAUAAUAUAUUGAACCGCAUGGUUCAAUAGUAAAAGAGGGUUUUGCUGUCACUUAUAGAUGGAUCCGCGCCGCAUUAGCUAGUUGGUAAGGUAACGGCUUACCAAGGCGACGAUGCGUAGCCGACCUGAGAGGGUGAUCGGCCACACUGGAACUGAGACACGGUCCAGACUCCUACGGGAGGCAGCAGUAGGGAAUCUUCCGCAAUGGGCGAAAGCCUGACGGAGCAACGCCGCGUGAGUGAUGAAGGUCUUCGGAUCGUAAAACUCUGUUAUUAGGGAAGAACAAAUGUGUAAGUAACUAUGCACGUCUUGACGGUACCUAAUCAGAAAGCCACGGCUAACUACGUG
rnacentral:rRNA from 1 species